CACACUUCUCCCCCUCCCCAGCUCUCUCUCUUCAACCCUUAUUGCAUUGUGACAAAAAUGGAUUGUAAUGGUUGCAAAAAUGUGUCUAGUAGGGCAAAAAUGGAAAGAAGACGGAGGAGGGUGACGGUGCGGGGGUCGGUUCGCAUGAAGGUGAAGAAGCUGCAGAAGCUAAUACCAGGCGGGCGAGGGCUGGAACCCGACCGCCUUUUUCCAGUGACCGCAGACUACAUCUUGCAUUUGAAGCACCAAGUUCAUGUGUUGCAAGCUCUUUCCCAAAUUUACAAUCCAUGAGUGACUAGUACUACUCCUAGUAAUCUCUUCUUUUAUUUUUUAGCACCUAAAGUUAUAUUUUUUAAUGAUGUGUUUGAUUUAAAAUCCAUGGAAAUUGUAUUGGUUCGAAUUUAUGUUUAUUUUCUCUCUCUUUUUCAUCAAGGUCUAGGCUGUAUGAUCCAUAAUGGUUUCAUAGUUCUUCAUUGUUUCAUGUUCAGUCAUCAGUGUGCUGCUUUUCAUUACUAGGAUAACAAUCAUUUCUUGUUCUUGAUCUGUUCUUAUUGUGUAGCAAAU
rnacentral:lncRNA from 1 species